UAUACUGCCCAGUUUUUAGCUUUACUUUGAAAUUAGAGGCGCCACAUUUUGAAAGACAAUUUCUUCGUUCACUUUGUUUUAACAUACGCUACUUCCUGCUGCUUCAUCUUCCUCACGGACAUAUUAUUGCUUCAUCUUCCUAAAGACGUCACAAAUGCUGCUUCUGCUUCUGCUUCAUCUCAUAAACAACAGGUUUAAUCUUCCUCUUCCUCUUGCUUAAUUGGAAAACGCACAUACUGUUUCAUCUCAUACAGCUUUAUCUUUCUCCUGCUUCCUCUAGUCGUUGCUACUGCUUCUGCUUGAAAACCUAAUUCGCAGGACGGAUAUACGGAAUGGAUUGCUCUAAAGUUUACCUACCCGAAGCGUAAUAUAUGAUUUCAUUACUAGUAUGAUGACUUGAUGUGCCGUGCACGGCUUCCUGAAGACAGCAGCAUGCUGUCAGUUUGAGAUGGGCAUGAUCAAGUUCUUCCUGGUGGUCAUGGAUUAAUGACUCAAGGCUAAUUUCCCCUAAUAGAUGCACUAGCAAAAGGCAUGGACAUACAGUUGAAUCACAGGAGUAUAUUGCAAGAUUAAGCACAUAUAGCCAAGAUGGAAUAGAUGAGGUUCAUGAGCAAUGAGCAAAGUUCUUUAGAUCGAACUUUUUGUAAACUAAAGGUAAUUUUAUACAAGCAAUAGUAGUACUACUAUUCGAUCAUAUGUGAUCAUAUAUAUAUAAGUGUAGUAGUGGAUGUUAUGUAAAAGAAUAUUUUCUAAUUAAUGUACAUAUUAUUCAAUCGUAUA